rnacentral:rRNA from 1 species
UACAGAGACUGCAAGCGUUAUUCGGAUUCACUGGGCGUAAAGGGUGCGCAGGCGGCCAAGUGUGUUAGGCGUGAAAGCCUGAGGCUUAACCUCAGAAUUGCACCUAAAACUACAUGGCUAGAGCAUUGGAGAGGGUAGCGGAAUUCACGGUGUAGCAGUGAAAUGCGUGGAUAUCGUGAGGAACACCAGAGGCGAAGGCGGCUACCUGGACAAUUGCUGACGCUCAGGCACGAAAGCGUGGGGAGCAAAAGGG